UUAACCUCGCUACGCUCACUGCCGAUCAGGCGACGUUUGAGAAUGCGGUGGAGGCAUCGCUGGAAGUGCACGGCGGCGGGGAUUGUCCCGAGAUGGCAGUCGGCGGUAUCAACCUGGCGCUGCGACGCUCCUCCCGCGAUCGUUCAUAUUUGUGUUCACUGACGCCUCGGCCAAGGACUACCAACUGAAAACCCAAGCACUGAGCUUGAUUCAGGAAACCCAGAGUCAGGUCAUAUUCGUAUUGACGGGUGACUGUAAUGAUCAAAGCGGAGAAGGGUUCCGAGCCUUCAAAGACAUUGCUGCUGCAUCAGCUGGCCAGAUUUUCUUUCUCCGGCAAAAGAAUGAGGUCGCCGAGGUAUUGAAGUUUAUCGAGAUCUCUGUCAUCGCUAGGCAGGUGAACAUACUGUCUGUGGAGACACGACCGGGUGCUGCACGUUAUCAAAUUCCCGUGGACGGCAGCUUGCAGCAGCUGAUUGUGUCGGUCAGUACAAACACAACAACUGGAGUCAACGUUCGUCUGCCG